rnacentral:misc_RNA from 1 species
GCAAACUUGGUCAUUUAGAGGAAGUAAAAGUCGUAACAAGGUUUCCGUAGGUGAACCUGCGGAAGGAUCAUUAUUGAAUUGAAAUGGGGGCGCUCGGUUCGGCCUGCACCGGCGGAGACGCCGUGCUGCGGUCGGCCUUGCGCCCUCUUCCAAACUCAAACCCCUGUGAACCUUUGGGAGUUCCGCACCGCAUGCGGAAGCGGCCUCCCGUUUCAACCAACUCUGAUGUCUAUUUGAAUGUUUGAUUCGGGGCAGCCCCGAUGUCUAAUUGAAAACAACUUUCAACAACGGAUCUCUUGGCUCUCGCAUCGAUGAAGAACGCAGC